UUCCAAUCAAUUCUAGAAGAAAAUGACACCAAUAUCUAGGAGGAGGAGAUACAAGUGCAAAAGGUCAAAAAUGGAGAAAAGGAUUCAGUAUCUAGAGAGCCCUAUUUUUCAGACGCUUGUACUUCUAGGAAACCAACUCCUACUAUUACUGGAAUUCCUAAAAAGUGAGUAAAUCAUAGUGAGGCAAAGGCGUUAAUGUAUACUCCCCCAUCUGUCAAGAAUGGCAUCCUUACUGUGAUGAUUGUGGAUGAUGAUAUCAAACACCAGGGAUGGAUGCUCCAUCUUACUCUUAUGGCUAGUCGGUGAUUCAUUUGAAGAUUGUGUGGUGAGUCCUUAUGAUUUGAGGGCAAACUAAGUCAUUCUUUCCUCUUAUUGUCAUUUCUAGACUAUGAUGAGGUUUUGAGACUAUUUUAUGUUGCAUCCUUACUUUCAUUGAGGAUGAGCUAGGAACAUGUCCUAGUCCCUACCUAUGUAGUCAUGUAGAGGCAUGUUGGACAUAUUUGUAUAAAGUUUAUUUUGUCUUGAUUCACUCUA